GAAAUGCGAUAAGUAGUGUGAAUUGCAGAAUUUAGCGAAUCAUCGAAUCUUUGAACGCACAUUGCGCCCCUUGGUAUUCCAUGGGGCAUGCCUGUUCGAGCGUCAUUUCAACCCUCAAGCACUGCUUGGUGUUGGGCGUUUGUCCCGCCUACGCGCGUGGACUCGCCUCAAAGUCAUUGGCAGCUGUUCCCCUUCGGCUCGUAAGCGCAGCACAGUCGGCGCCCGGAGCUCUGGUGGGAUGGCGUCCAGCAAGCUAUAUUUUCAGGCUUGACCUCGGAUCAGGUAGAGAUACGCGCAGAAGAUAAGC
rnacentral:misc_RNA from 1 species